rnacentral:rRNA from 1 species
UACAGAGGUCCCAAGCGUUACUGAGAAUCACUGGGUUUAAAGGGUGCGUAGGUGGUCCGUUAAGUCAGUUGUGAAAUCCCCGGGCUCAACCCGGGAACUGCUUCUGAUACUGGCGGACUUGAGGCCAGUAGGGGUCACUAGAACUGACGGUGGAGCGGUGAAGUGCGUAGAUAUCGUCAGGAAUGCCGGUGGUGAAGACGGGUGACUGGGCUGGUUCUGACACUGAGGCACGAAAGCGUGGGGAGCGAACGGG